CCGAUAGCGAACAAGUACCGUGAGGGAAAGAUGACAAGCACUUUGAAAAGAGGGUGAAAAGAGCCUGAAACCGUCACGGGGGAAGCGGAUUGCGUUGGAUUGAUGGGCGCUUGUGUGUUCAGCCUUCGGGUGCAUUGGCACAAGUGCUUAUCCGCUGUGAGUUUUCGGGGGUCGAUUUUGGACCCCUGGGGACUGAGGGCUCCCUUCUUUUAGGUGAGGACAGCGGAGUGACGACGCGAUACGACCCGUCUUGAAACACGGACCAAGGAGUCUAGCGCGGGUGCGAGUCGGAGGGUGCAAGCCCGUGGGCGAAGUGAAAGCGAGUUUUAAAAACGAGCAGUUUGGGGCGGCAUAAGAUCGUUGAUCUUAAGACCGACCCGGAGCAGUUGCGCUGGGACCCGAAAGAUGGUGAACUAUGCCGGAGUAGGGCAAAGCCAGAGGAAACUCUGGUGGAGGCUCGUAGCGGUGCUGACGUGCAAAUCGCUCGUCGAACUUGGGUAUAGGGGCGAAAGACUAAUCGAACCAUCUAGUAGCUGGUUCCCUCCGAAGUUUCUCUCAGGAUAGCGGGCCGACAAGUUGUUUUGUGCGGUAAAGCGAAUGAUUAGCGCAUUCGGGGGCGUUUAGCCUUUGGGCGAUUCUCAAACUUUCAAUGCGCAAGG
rnacentral:rRNA from 1 species